GACGAACGCUGGCGGCGUGCUUAACACAUGCAAGUCGAACGAAGAGCGAUGGAAGCUUGCUUCUAUCAAUCUUAGUGGCGAACGGGUGAGUAACGCGUAAUCAACCUGCCCUUCAGAGGGGGACAACAGUUGGAAACGACUGCUAAUACCGCAUACGAUCUAAUCUCGGCAUCGAGGAUGGAUGAAAGGUGGCCUCUAUUUAUAAGCUAUCACUGAAGGAGGGGAUUGCGUCUGAUUAGCUAGUUGGAGGGGUAACGGCCCACCAAGGCGAUGAUCAGUAGCCGGUCUGAGAGGAUGAACGGCCACAUUGGGACUGAGACACGGCCCAGACUCCUACGGGAGGCAGCAGUGGGGAAUCUUCCGCAAUGGACGAAAGUCUGACGGAGCUACGCCGCGUGAGUGAUGACGGCCUUCGGGUUGUAAAGCUCUGUUAAUCGGGACGAAAGGCCUUCUUGCGAAUAGUUAGAAGGAUUGACGGUACCGGAAUAGAAAGCCACGGCUAACUACGUGCCAGCAGCCGCGGUAAUACGUAGGUGGCAAGCGUUGUCCGGAAUUAUUGGGCGUAAAGCGCGCGCAGGCGGAUUGGUCAGUCUGUCUUAAAAGUUCGGGGCUUAACCCCGUGAUGGGAUGGAAACUGCCAAUCUAGAGUAUCGGAGAGGAAAGUGGAAUUCCUAGUGUAGCGGUGAAAUGCGUAGAUAUUAGGAAGAACACCAGUGGCGAAGGCGACUUUCUGGACGAAAACUGACGCUGAGGCGCGAAAGCCAGGGGAGCGAACGGGAUUAGAUUCCCCGGUAGUCCUGGCCGU
rnacentral:rRNA from 1 species